rnacentral:rRNA from 1 species
GAGAUGUGUGAUGACGCAUAUCAAUAAGCGGAGGAAAAGAAACUAACAAGGAUUCCCUUAGUAACGGCAAGUGAAGCGGGAAGAGCUCAAAUUUGAAAUCUUCAAGGUUCUACCUUGACGAAUUGUAGUUUAUAGAAGUGUUUUCUGUUAGUAGAGUGGCAAAAGUUCUUUGGAAUAGGACAUCAUAGAGGGUGAGAAUCCCGUAUUUGGUCAUUCUUUCUAGCUUUGUGAUACACUUUCAACGAGUCGGAUUGUUUGGGAAUGCAGUCCAAAAUGGGUGGUAAAUUUCAUCUAAAGCUAAAUAUUGGCGAGAGACCGAUAGCGAACAAGUACCGUGAGGGAAAGAUGAAAAGAACUUUGAAAAGAGAGUUAAACAGUACGUGAAAUUGUCAAAAGGGAAGCGUUUGACACCAGUGUUGUUUUUCCGAAAAUCAAUUAUGAAUGGCUUGAUUUUAAGUUUCAUGACCUUAAAAGCUUGUUUCUUAUUUUUCAUGUCUUUCGUAAUGCACUUUUCGGUUAACAAGUCAACAUCAAUUUCUUUUGUUGUAAAAGGUUAAGAGGAAGGUGGCUUUACUUUCGGGUAAAGUGUUUAUAGCCUUUUAACUCUGCAAUCGGAGAGAUUGAGGUCUGCAGCGUAGAUCCUUCGGGGUUAGAUACAUUUGUGCUAAGUCAUAGCUUUUCAUAGACAACUUGUUGACUAUGUUAAGUCUUGUAAUUUACUCGCAGAUGCUAUUUUACCUACGCUUAGGAUGUUGACAGCAGUAUAGACUGU